UAAUGUAAAUGUAAGGACGGAUUAGGUUGUUUAUGUAGAUUAUGGACUUAAAAGGAUUGCGAAACAUUUUCCGGAAAUGCGAGAACAUUUAUGCAUGGUCUGAUAACAAUCUACCGACGAAUAUUUAAUUAUCUGUGCUGUAAUGCUGCUCCUUUAUCCACUGGAUCAUUAAUAAAAGCUGUUCUAUGCCAAAACUCGCUCGCUUACUGACUGAAUGAAUGAGGAAAUGAAACAGCGUGUGUGGCUGAAAGUGGGCGGAGAUGGAGAGAAACUCAAGGAACGCGGCACAGACUCUGUGCAGUCAUUGGUGUAAAUACAUGGAGCUUCGCAGUGAAGUGAGUGGAGAGUUGGCCAAUUGGACAAUUGUUGAGCGGCUGUGUUCAGAACAGACUGAUGGAUCAAAUUGCGGAGUCUUCUUGCUGAUGAAUGCUGACGCAAUUGCAUGCGAGGUGUCUCCCAGCAUUAUGUGCCAGUAACAUUGUGCUACGUAUCGCCGUUGUGUUCAUCAUUGCCUGGUAGAGAAUGACCAUUUUCGAACCAACAGAUGUGGUUUGAAUCUGAAUUGUGUGCAACGUAAGGAAAAGAAGCCCAAAUGGAUACAUUGCAGCGGCUGUUAUUUGUGGCUGCACUACUCUUGUGUAAACAUUAUAUGCAAGCCAAGACGACUUUUUUUUUUUUUUGCCCCAUGUGCAAAUAAAUCAAGAAUCAUGAAUAGUUUGUCUGCCCAAUACAUUAUCACAACUAUUACUGCUAGACAUAAUUUUAGUUCACAAAGAAAGAGCAACUUAACAUUCUCUUAAAGCAAUGAAAAUAAUUGUUCCUCUGUUUUAUCAAUAUUAAGCGUUAACUGCAACUAUUUAAAUACUUUCUUAUUUCAUUUUUAAUAUUGAGAACCAUUAAGCUUCAUGUUCAUAAUUUGUGUCUUGUUUCAUGCUUA